UACGGCCAUAUCAGUUUGAAUUCCGGUUCCGCUCCGAUAACCGAAUUUAAGCAACGUCGAGCCUGGUCAGUACCUAGAUGGGUGACCGAUUGGGAAUACCAGUUGUCGUAAG